rnacentral:rRNA from 1 species
UACGUAGGGGGCAAGCGUUGUCCGGAAUCAUUGGGCGUAAAGAGCGUGUAGGCGGCCCGAUAAGUCCGCCGUGAAAGCCCAGGGCUCAACCCUGGGAUGCCGGUGGAUACUGUCGGGCUAGAAUCCGGAAGAGGCGAGUGGAAUUCCUGGUGUAGCGGUGAAAUGCGCAGAUAUCAGGAGGAACACCGAUGGCGAAGGCAGCUCGCUGGGACGGUACUGACGCUGAGACGCGAAAGCGUGGGGAGCAAACAGG